rnacentral:ncRNA from 1 species
GAUAGAGGUGCGAAGACCAUUAGUACACAAUAGGAGGAUCAUGAGGUCCAGCGAGAAUUGUGGAAAGGGGAAUUCGCCGAAGCGAAGAGAAACUCAUGUUCUCAACGUUGGUUCUGCUAUUGAAUAAAUACAGGACUGUCAUAUAGGCGACUAUAUGGAGGGCUAUCUU